rnacentral:tmRNA from 1 species
GGGGGCGAAUGGGCUCGACGGGGGUUAUGAGGCUUAUGUGGCAUGUCGUGGCUCCAUCACCACGUAAAAAGAUGGAAAAACACACAAACGCCAACAACGAACUGGCACUCGCUGCUUAAUUAAAGCAGCUCGCUACUUUGGGAUCGCCUGUGUUCCGGGGAUAGCGACGAUCAGCAGGCUGGCAGCAGGGAGAGCUCCUGACUCUGUUGCGAGACAAAGGGAGAUUGGAUUUCAGGAAGCCUGUCUGGCGGCGUCCUGAAGUCUGAAAACUGAAAAGACAGUCUACACAUGUAGAAGCAUAAGAGUAGUGCUUUCGGACGCGGGUUCGAUUCCCGCCGCCUCCACCA